UAGGGAAUCUUCGGCAAUGGACGGAAGUCUGACCGAGCAACGCCGCGUGAGGGAAGAAGGUUUUCUGAUCGUAAAGCUCUGUUGUUAGAGAAGAACGUUGGUAGGAGUGGAAAAUCUACCACGUGACGGUAACUAACCAGAAAGGGACGGCUAACUACGUGCCAGCAGCCGCGGUAAUACGUAGGUCCCGAGCGUUGUCCGGAUUUAUUGGGCGUAAAGCGAGCGCAGGCGGUUCUUUAAGUCUGAAGUUAAAGGCGGUGGCUUAACCAUUGUACGCGAUGGAAACUGGAGGAGUAGAGUGCAGAAGGGGAGAGUGGAAUUCCAUGUGUAGCGAUGAAAUGCGUAGAUAUAUGGAGGAACACCGGUGGCGAAAGCGGAUGUCUGGUCUGUAGCUGACGCUGAGGCUCGAAAGCGUGAGGAGCAAACAGG
rnacentral:rRNA from 1 species